AACGUAGGUACCGAGCGUUAUCCGGAUUUACUGGGCGUAAAGCGCGUUCAGGCGGUUUGGCAAGUCGGGCAUGAAAUCUCUCGGCUCAACCGGGAGAGGUUGUCCGAUACUUCCAGACUUGAGGGCAGUAGAGGGUGGUGGAAUUCCCAGUGUAGCGGUGAAAUGCGUAGAUAUUGGGAGGAACACCAGUGGCGAAGGCGGCUCACUGGACCGGAACUGACGCUGAGGCGCGAAAGCGUGGGGAGCAAACAGG
rnacentral:rRNA from 1 species